rnacentral:rRNA from 1 species
CGCAGCCGCGGUAAUUCCAGCUCCAAUAGCGUAUAUUAAAGUUGUUGCAGUUAAAAAGCUCGUAGUUGAAUUUCGGGAUUGGCGCAUCGGUCGUGCCUUACGGGGUAUGAACUGGUGCAGUCAAUUUCUCACCUUCUGGAGAACCGCGAUGUCCUUAAUUGGGUGCCGCGGGGAACCAGGACCUUUACUUUGAAAAAAUUAGAGUGUUUAAAGCAGGCAUUUUUGCUUGAAUACAUUAGCAUGGAAUAAUAAAAUAGGACGGCAUGGUUCUAUUUUGUUGGUUUCUAGGACCACCGUAAUGAUUAAUAGGGAUAGUUGGGGGCAUUAGUAUUCAAUUGUCAGAGGUGAAAUUCUUGGAUUUAUUGAAGACUAACUACUGCGAAAGCAUUUGCCAAGGAUGUUUUCAUUAAUCAAGAACGAAAGUUAGGGGAUCGGAGACGAUCAGAUACC